UACGGAGGGUGCAAGCGUUAUCCGGAUUCACUGGGUUUAAAGGGUGCGUAGGUGGGAAUGUAAGUCAGUGGUGAAAUCUCCGUGCUUAACAUGGAAACUGCCAUUGAUACUAUGUUUCUUGAAUCUUCCGGAGGUCAGCGGAAUAUGUCAUGUAGCGGUGAAAUGCAUAGAUAUGUCACAGAACACCAAUUGCGAAGGCAGCUUACUAUGGUGUCAUUGACACUGAGGCACGAAAGCGUGGGGAUCAAACAGG
rnacentral:rRNA from 1 species